GAGCAGGGAGGCACGGAAACCCACAGUACCAAGCAUGAGAAAGAAGCCAUAGCAUAUGCAAGCCAUGUAACCAAAGAAGAAAGAGGUUUGCAUGAAGCCAGACAUAUCCGAGCGUGCAUAAUAGUAAUACAGGCAGUAAGCAUAGAUAAAUAGGCCAGUUGAUCCACCACACAGAAAAGACCUCCACCACCAUUCAUGAUCUUCAGCAGCAAGUUGAAAGUAUGUCAAGGCCACGGUAAUAAAAGCAGUCACAAUUAUAAGAAUGAUGAAGACUAUAAAUAAGAUGCUGUAUAUGGUGUAAAUUCUGUGACCCCAAACACUUGCAAAUAUAUAGUAAAGUUCGAUAUAUAUGGCACUGAAAGGCAAAAACCCAGCCAUUGCCAUCUGAGGUAGAGUUCCGCGGUACCAAGGUAAUGGUGGGAUCUCUCUUGGGUAUUUGGUGGUUCGACAAGGAGCUUGGAACUCAGCCCUGCUGUUCUUUCCAGCUAUCCCUCCCAAUACAAGUAAAGGUGAUGUCACAAGAGCCCAUAUGAGAAAGAUGACCACAAUGGUUCCAAAAGGCAGUGCAGCAGUAGCACUGUAUGCAAUUGCUACGCUGUUAAGGAAACAGAACGUGAGAAACAGGGGUCCACAAAACAAGGCUCCGGUCAAUAUCAAAUUCCUGACCCAGUUUGUCCCUUCUAGCUGGCAAUAGAAAGAGGCAGCAGUAUAGCCUGCAAUACCAGAUGUGAGAGCAUAUAUGACGACCAGUGCCGUGAAUAAAGCUCCACGGUUGUAUGGAUAGAAAACACCAACAAGUGAGAGAAGGAAAAUAAAGAUGGUCAAUGUGAAUAACUGUGUGCCACUCCCAAGUGCUGCAGCCAUCAAGGAUUUGUGACUUGGGUACCUAAACACAUCACCAUGGAUGUAUUUCCACCCAGUUUCUUCUUGGUCAUCAGCCGCCUCCUCAUCAUGUGCAUACUUGACAAAGUCAUUCUUAAGGACCCGCAUAAGAAUUGUGGCAAGAAAACCAGUUAAGAGAAGAACUGUCACACAGGAAUUGAUAAUU
rnacentral:misc_RNA from 1 species